rnacentral:rRNA from 1 species
AUGGAAGGAAAAAAAAGCGAUAGACAUAUAUCAGAUCCCCAAUUCCCUCUCCUUGCACAUGGCGGCGCCGCCGCUGCAAUCAGCAGAUUAAUCUCGACCAGCUAUCUUCUCCUACCCUGCGAGCUGGCUGACGACACCAACGGAAAUACUAAGGCCAGUGCCGAAGCGUACGCGCCAUGCCGACGACCGUCUGAGCGCGCUGCCGGACGAACUCCUGCACGCCAUCCUGUCGCGCCUCAAGGCCCUGCAGAUGGUGCAGGCGUGCGUCCUGUCCACGAGGUGGAGGAACCUCUGGCGCGCCGUGCCGUGCCUUGA